rnacentral:rRNA from 1 species
CCUACGGGAGGCAGCAGUGAGGAAUAUUGCACAAUGGUGGAAACACUGAUGCAGCGACGCAGCGUGCAUGAUGAAGGAUCUCGGGAUGUAAAGCUCUAUCAGCGGGGGAGAAAUGACGGUACCUGACUAAGAAGCCCCGGCUAACUACGUGCCAGCAGCCGCGGUAAUACGGAAGGGGCAGGCGUUAUCCGGAUUUACUGGGUGUAAAGGGAGCGUAGACGGCGCUGCAAGUCCGGAGUGAAAGCCCAUGGCUGAACCAUGGUACUGCGCGGGAAACUGUGGAGCUUGAGUGCGGGAGGGGCAGGCGGAAUUCCUAGUGUAGCGGUGAAAUGCGUAGAUAUUAGGAGGAACACCGGCGGCGAAGGCGGCCUGCUGGACCGUAACUGACGUUGAGGCUCGAAAGCGUGGGGAGCAAACAGGAUUAGAUACCCCUGUAGUC